rnacentral:rRNA from 1 species
UACAGAGGGGGCAAGCGUUGUUCGGAAUUACUGGGCGUAAAGGGUGCGUAGGCGGCCUGUUAAGUCGAACGUGAAAUCCCCGGGCUCAACCCGGGAACUGCGUCCGAUACUGGCAGGCUUGAAUCCGGGAGAGGGAUGCGGAAUUCCAGGUGUAGCGGUGAAAUGCGUAGAUAUCUGGAGGAACACCGGUGGCGAAGGCGGCAUCCUGGACCGGCAUUGAUGCUGAGGCGCGAAAGCCAGGGGAGCAAACGGG